AUUCUGAAAUUAGAUCGCAAUGAUGCAAGUUCAGCAACCUUGAUAGAAAUUUCACCUUUGUAUGGUCGGCUUUUGUUGAUUUUAGUGCUAAAAGAUGGAUGGACAACUGAGAGUAAAACGGAUAAUGGAAACAAAGAGGAUAAUGUUCAAGACAACACUUUACAUUUUAUACUCACUCCUUUAACUGUUGUCGUAUGUGGGGUUGGUGGUUGUUUCGCAUUUGUUUUUGUUAAGAAGCGAAAACAACGACAUCAAUUGAACAGUCCUCCACAGGAAUUGACUGAAAAUGAUCCCUAUGUGUAUCGUGAGCUUUCAGAGGCAACUUUUACAAGAAUAGGUAUCAACACUUCUACAAAAGAGGUUAUUCCAAGAUUAUACGGACAUGGUGAAGCAAAUAAUUCAGUCCCCUCGGAAAUUGGUCUUCAAAGGGUUACAGAAAUAAAAUCAAGUUUCUCCUAUGCCUAUACCACAAACGAGAGUGGGUUGUUAAAUGUUUCAAGAACAGUGAGUAUAAGGGCGCCGUUGGAUGAUGA